GACGAACGCUGGCGGCGUGCUUAACACAUGCAAGUCGAACGGGAUUUAGUAAACAGAAGCCUCGUUGGAAGAUUACUAAUGAGAGUGGCGAACGGGUGAGUAACGCGUGAGCAACCUGCCUAUGACAGUGGGAUAGCCUCUGGAAACCGGGAUUAAUACCGCAUAAAAUCGUAGAAACACAUGUUUUAACGGUCAAAGAUUUAUCGGUCAUAGAUGGGCUCGCGUCUGAUUAGCUAGUUGGUGAGAUAACAGCCCACCAAGGCGACGAUCAGUAGCCGGUCUGAGAGGAUGAACGGCCACAUUGGAACUGAGACACGGUCCAAACUCCUACGGGAGGCAGCAGUUGGGAAUAUUGCACAAUGGGGGAAACCCUGAUGCAGCGACGCCGCGUGAACGAAGAAGGUAUUCGUAUCGUAAAGUUCUGUCCUAUGGGAAGAUAAUGACAGUACCAUAGAAGAAAGCUCCGGCUAAAUACGUG
rnacentral:rRNA from 1 species